rnacentral:rRNA from 1 species
UGGGGAAUUUUGCACAAUGGGGGAAACCCUGAUGCAGCGACGCCGCGUGAUUUAGAAGGCCUUCGGGUUGUAAAAAUCUUUUCUAUGGGAAGAAAAUGACAGUACCAUAGGAAUAAGGACCGGCUAAUUACGUGCCAGCAGCCGCGGUAAUACGUAAGGUCCGAGCGUUGUCCGGAAUCAUUGGGCGUAAAGGGUACGUAGGCGGGUAAGCAAGUUAGAAGUGAAAUCCUAUAGCUCAACUAUAGUAAGCUUUUAAAACUGCUCAUCUUGGGGUAUGGAAGGGAAAGUGGAAUUCCUAGUGUAGCGGUGAAAUGCGCAGAUAUUAGGAGGAAUACCGGUGGGGAAGGCGACUUUCUGGCCAUAACCUGACGCUGAGGUACGAAAGCGUGGGUAGCAAACAGG